rnacentral:rRNA from 1 species
GAUGAACGCUGGCGGCGUGCUUAACGCAUGCAAGUCGAACGGAGUUUACAUGUGAGCGGAGGGUGCUUGCAUCUAACAAUCUUUUGUAAACUUAGUGGCGGACGGGUGAGUAACGCGUGGGUAACCUGCCGUAUACAGGGGGACAACAGUUGGAAACGACUGCUAAUACCGCAUAACCCGCUAGGGCCGCAUGGCCCGGACGGAAAAGAUUUAUCGGUACGAGAUGGACCCGCGUCUGAUUAGCUAGUUGGUGAGGUAACGGCCCACCAAGGCGACGAUCAGUAGCCGGCCUGAGAGGGUGACCGGCCACAUUGGGACUGAGGCACGGCCCAA